rnacentral:rRNA from 1 species
ACAUGCAAGUCGAACGGUAACUUUUGGUGCUUGCACCGAAAGACGAGUGGCGAACGGGUGCGUAACGCGUAUGCAAUCUGCCUUUUACUAGGGUAUAGCCCAGAGAAAUUUGGAUUAAUCCCCUAUAAUAUCAUUUUUCCGCAUGGUUAAAUGAUUAAAGCUUCGGCGGUAAAAGAUGAGCAUGCGUCUUAUUAGUUUGUAGGUGAGGUAACGGCUCACCUAGACUACGAUAGGUAGGGGCCCUGAGAGGGGGACCCCCCACACUGGUACUGAGACACGGACCAGACUCCUACGGGAGGCAGCAGUGAGGAAUAUUGGACAAUGGACGAAAGUCUGAUCCAGCUAUGCCGCGUGCAGGAUGACGGCCCUACGGGUUGUAAACUGCUUUUAUACAGGAAGAAAUACCCCGACGUGUCGGGGCUUGACGGUACUGUAAGAAUAAGGAUCGGCUAACUCCGUGCCAGCAGCCGCGGUAAUACGGAGGAUUCGAGCGUUAUCCGGAAUCAUUGGGUUUAAAGGGUCCGUAGGCGGUUUUUUAAGUCAGAGGUGAAAUCCUGCAGCUCAACUGUAGAAUUGCCUUUGAAACUGAAAGACUUGAGUUAUUGUGAAGUGGUUAGAAUGUGUGGUGUAGCGGUGAAAUGCAUAGAUAUCACACAGAAUACCAAUUGCGAAGGCAGAUCACUAACAAUAUACUGACGCUCAGGGACGAAAGCGUGGGUAGCGAACAGGAUUAGAUACCCUGGUAGUCCACGCCGUAAACGAUGGAUACUAGCUGUAUGUCUACUUCAGGUAGAUGUGUGGCCAAGCGAAAGUGAUAAGUAUCC